GUCAAGUUCUGGGUAACUGUGUUGCUUAGAUUACCAGCAUACUCCACUGUCCUCACAUGAGUCACUGUGAUGUUUUGGGAGAGUGGUGCCGGACUAAGAAAUAGCUUCCCUCAGAAAUCCAGACUGGGAUCGAAGUAUGAGAACUCUGAGUCACCUCCACAGCCACUCAGAGAGAGGGCUUGAACUUGGGACCUUAUGCUUGCGAGGCAGGUGGCGGAACCACUGAGCUAAAUCCCCGGCUUGGAUGUAAUAUGUAAUGCAAACAUGUACUAAUAAAAAUUAUUAAAUUUAAUUAAAAAGUUACCUAAAUGCAGAGGCAGCAUUGUUAACACUAUGGCACAUCAAUGUCUCCUUACACUUUUUCUUUGUAUUUAUAAUCAUAUUAUUUUUUAAAAUGUUUGAUAUGGAAUUGGAAUUAGAUUUUUCAGUUUUUUAAGUUUGUUUUUCUCUUGUAAUGAUUAACAUUUUCCUUUGUUGCUAUGUAACCAUUCACAGAAAGAACUUUGGAGCUAAACUGUUUGAAUUUGAAUCUUAGCUGUCACAGUAUGACCCUUGGGCCUAUCCUUUAAUGGAAAUAAUUACUUUAGAUUCCUCAUUUGCAAAAGUCCUAGAUAUAAUACUGUGACAAAUGGUGGAAGAAUGAGACCACCUGAAGAGGCUAAUGGAAGGCAAUGAGGCACAGACUUUAUUCACCUGGGUGCAGGUCAACAGAGUGUGACAAAGCCAUUAGCGGUGAACAAAGAAAAGUCAGAGAGUUUUAUAGGGGAAUGGGGAAGGGGUCUGGCACACCUUUCACAUAUAGGAGUCAGAGCAACUAUUUGUGGUCGGGGCCCAUGUGGUGGUCAAGGCAGAUGUAUGGAUGUUAUCAGGUAACUUGGCAUGGGGAAGAUGUUGUACUCUACUUUGUAGUCUUAUCUCUUUUCUAUAACAUCCCAUUUUGUGUUCUGUCUGCACAGCCUGUGUUGGGGAAGAUGGCAUAGCCUAUAACUGUUUUUUUAGCCACCUGUGUUUUUCUGAGGGCUGCAGUUUUUUGUAUCUGCUAAAAUUGUAGCUUGGAAUUAAACAACAUAUUCAUUAACCAGGUAAUGGCCAGAUCAAGCCUGACAAAUGCACUAUCAUUAAGUAUAGUCCUCAUAUUAGGCAUCUUUCCAUUUGUUCACCCUAUGUAUUUGCUACAGUGUAUUCUGUAACUUACAUCUCUCCAUCCCCCCACCCUUGUAUCUACUAUUAUUUCUUAUCAUUAUAUAUUUAACCUGUUUUACUUUAUAUUUUAUAUAUAAAUGACAUGCAAUAUUUUUCUUUCUGUGUCUAGUUUAUUUAUCAUAAAGUCCUCCAGGUCCAUCACGUUGUGCCAAAUGACAGGAUUGCCUCCUUUUUUAAGGACUUAAUGAUAGUCCAUCGUGUUACCAUGUGAUGAAUUUAGCAGGUAUAUUCCAGGCCAUUGUGUGCAAUGAGCAAUGAAUUGCAAGUGCACACUCAACAGAAAGUUGGAAGCAGCUACACUUGAAGAUCACAAGAAGUUGUGCUCAGGGUAAGUUGGUGCAGACAAAAGAUAAAGCAUGAACAGAAAAGUGGUGCUGAAAUGACAGGACAGCAAAAGCACUGCCCACAGAUUACAGCUUUUAGCAUGCAGCAACCCCCAGAUAAACCAAGUUUUCAGAAUUUAAAGAAUAUGCACCCUGUGCAGAUGUCUCCCUUGAAUCUCUAGGUAUGAUUGCUAGGAAUGAUUGUUAGGAUGUUGAGUCAUCUCAGAGGGCUCUCAACACACAUGCUUAUUCUAGAAUUUACUCUGAUCUUAAUUACCUGUAUGAAAUUUAGUAUUCAUAAACUUUUAAUAAGUUUUGAAUAGGAUAAAGGUGACUGAAGGCAGGCCAGAGGAUCAACAUACGUGUGCUCUCACCUAGAGCAUCAGUGAUUACCUGGGUUUUUGUUGUGUGAUUCUCUAUCUUUCUUAGGACAAUGGAAAGAGGAAUGAAUCUAGGGUGCUGUUCAAAAUUAAAUGAGUGGAAGGGAGUGACUCCUUCAGCUCCAUUGUUUCUAACUGUACUAAUUGUGUAUAUUUCUUUAUUCAUCCACUGAUUGACACGUAGGCUGUUUACAUAUCUUGGCUUGGGAGAAUAACACUGCAAUGAACAUAGGAGUACAGAUAGCUUUACUCUCCCAUUGCAUUUUUAAAAGGAUAAACAAUGAACCAGUUAGGAAAGGAAUAGUGAUGGGACAUGGAGUAAAUGUGCUUUACCAUCUUGGUUGUGAGCUUGUUUGGAGUGGCAGAGAGUAUUCCAGUACAUCACUUUUGCCUGGAAAGCUGUUUCUCAAAAAUCAUUCAGACUUUCUGGUACUACCAAACUAAUAUCUAAUGGUGCUUUCUAAAUUUAAUCACUAGUAAUCCUUUCCUUAGAUUCUGGUCAGAGAAUCUUUGGCCAUCCUUGGCCUAGAAUCCUUGGCUAUCCAUUUUAUAUACUUCUGGUUCUUUAAUAGCUGCCAUGGAAUGACUCUGGGCCCAGCUACAGGGAAACAUUAGUGGUUACUCAGUGAACAGUUAGUUCCUGGAGCCUCCAUCUUUUCCAAGCUGGUGAAGAUAAAGAUCCUAUUGGAGACUGAAUGGACAGGUAAUCUGCUUUGAGAAAUAAAUUUCUCACCUUACUACAGCCAGAAAUCCUAACUUCAGAUAUGCAAAUUUAAGAUUAAGUAUUGCUUAGGGCUGCAAAAGAAAAAUCAUAACAAUAGUAUAACUUUUUGAAAAUUGAUAAAUAACAAAUCUAAGUUUUUGUUUAAGUGUUUCAUGUGUAUAUAUAUAUGAUAUGCUAUGUCUGCAUGUGUACUUGUGUUUGUAAAUUGCUUGCAAGGUAAUGAAUUAACUUAAAAAUAAAAGAGCAUAAGUAAUUAAACAAAUGUUUAAAACGUAAAGUAUCUUCAGAAUUAUUAAUGUCAUGUCCAGGGGUGUGCAGCACCCUGUUGCUCUGCAGCCAACCAGGAUUGUAAACUUACCACCAGUAACCAAUUAAAGAAUCCAAAUUUAAAUGGGAAAACAAAAAAGCUUUAUCUGUAAGGAAGAAAAGAAGCAGGGGACAAAAUCUACCUUGUGAGGUUAGGGGCCUAGAUCCAGAUACCAAUGGGUCUCUAUCCUCAGCUUCCUUUUAUCAUGUUUUGGGGGAACACUUCCUUCCUGGCUGAUAUCUGGAACUUGUCACAAUAAGAUUUAUCCUCUGGACUGUCUUAGAUGGAUCCCAGUCCCUAGAACCCUAACCCCCUACUCUAUCACCGAUAUGCACAUUCUUAAGUAGGCCUGCUUGUCCUUGUCAGGACCUUAUCUCUGGAAUUUAUGAGUUGAUUAGGCUGAGUUAGUAAGGGGUAUGCAUGUGUAUUUAGUGCAGUAAUACAGUGACCCUAGGGUGGGAAUAGAUAGAUAAAUAGAUAGAUGGAUAUAGAUGUAUAGGUGUGUGUAUUUUUAUAUACUAAAUAAGAGUCUUCUUUUUUUAAGUGGCUACCCCUUGUCUCUUAUACAUUUUAUUGAUGGUUGGGAGGGGCAGCUAACUUGUGCCCCUUGCUUUGUUUAUUAGCUUUUGUUUGCCUUGUUAACUGUUCUCUGUAGUAAAAUUUUUAACUCUUUCUAAUCAGGAUUAGCCAGAAAGCCCAAUGAAGCCCUCAUUUUAUAUUUUUUCCUGCCUACAGAUCCCUUUCCCCUACAGUUAACAUACAUUUUUUCCAUGUGUUAGCCAAUCAGGAUUAUAGUUUAGAUGUUUGAGACCUUUGUGAUAGCCAACCUGACUCCAUUUUGUGCUUCAUCACCAUUCCUCCCAUUUCUCAUAAAGUUGAGUGAUUCCGAGUGGUUGCCUCCCCAACCUCCUUGGGCAUCCCCUCCAUUGUAUCCCAUUUGGUAAGCAGUUGCAACUAUAUGUUAUCUUUACAACCUUGUAAACAGAAUACUCCACAAUUGUGUGAUAUUUUGUUUCAACUAAACUGUGUGAAACUUCCCCUGACCCCCCUCUAACUUAGCAAAGUUUUGCUCCUGUGAAAUUCUGCUUGCACUCCCCCCUUUCCCUGAGCCCUCCCCAACUAGAAGAGCUGCUUAAAAGAAACCCACAAGCCACUUUUUGUCAAGAGCUUUCAAGCUCGAGCCACUCCCGAAUGCCAGCAGUAAAAGGACUCAAAUUUGGCUCAGAAUGUUGGUGAUUCUCUAUAAUCUCUUGAAAUUGAAUAUAACACCUUAAGUAUACAACUUUUGAGGUAUUUUUCCCCUUUGGCAAAAGAAAUGGCUUGGAACAUUGACUUGUGUUUGUUUGAUAUCUUAUGUUUUCUAAGCAACUUAGAGGUAACUGUUAAAAAAUUAAAUUAAAAUGUAAGUAAAAUAUCUGAGUUAAAAUACUAGCAACAUUUGCCUAUUAUGAAUUCAGGUAUUCUUGGCUUCUUAAAAUCUAUAAAUAAGAAUGUAUUUGAAUCUAUUAAGUGUAUUUCAUAGAUUGUAUACUCUUCUGAUAGAGGACUAAUCUAGAAUAUAUAAACAACCUUUAAAAAAACCUCAAAAAGCAAAUGAGCCAAUCAAAGAAAGAAUAGGCAAAUGAAAUAAAAAAGAAUAGGCAAAUGAACUGAAUAGACCCUUCUCAAAGGAAGAAGUAUAAAUAGCUAAUACAUACAUGAAAAAUGUUCACUAUCUCUCACCAUUUAAGGAAAUGCAAAUCAAAACAACUAGUCAAAAUGACUACCACAAAGAACACAAAAAACAAUAAAUGCUGAUGAGAAUGCUGGGAAAAAGGAAACUCCUAUAUUUCUGGUGAAAAUGUAAAUGAGUACAACUACUAUGAAAAUCACUGUGGAGAUUCCUCAAAAAACUAAAAAAAGAAAUUCCAUUUUGAGAUAGGAAGUUAGGGCUGGGGGAAACCAAACAACCAACAGGGCAAAAUGUGUCAAAGUUCAUAAAAACCUAUGGCUAAUAGGUUGAGAGAGAUGUUACCUAGAAAGAGAAGACAUGUAGAACAUGGGACCCAAAAUGACCCCAGGCUUAUGGUUCCUGAGUAUUGUACCUGGGACCAAUCAGAAAAUGAUAUUCUCAAACUUUCAUUUAAAUCUAGUGCUAUUGUAAGUCCAAUCAUAAAACAUUAUUCACAGUCCUUCAUUUACAUAUGGGUACAACCAAGCAAAAGACAGUUUCUGAUCCUUCACUUAACAUCUGGUAAGAGGCCGUGAGUUUUUAUUUUGAGAGGGCAAUUGUCUAAAUGACUUAUUUGCAUGAGGUGGAAGCCAAUCCAGGUAUUUUUGAUGCUAAAGACCUCAGUCGCUUCAUCCUUGGGGCUUCUGUGAAACUUUUCUCUGGCCUAUUAUUAACUUGCAGAGUUUAUAUCUUUUUCCACCUUCAAUAACAUUAUAUCCUCAUAGCCUUUUCUAUCUUGUCCAAUUAUUUGUUUGGGACACCAAGGACCUAGAGAGAAGCCCUUGGAUCCCUGUCUGGUAACAGUUAUACCUCUUCUGGGUAUGUUCUUGACAGAGUUAAAGACAUCUACUGUAGUGAUACAUGCAUACCAUGUUUAUAGCAGCACAAUUCACUAUAUCUAAGCUUGGAAAGAGCCUAGAUGCCAUCAAUACAUGCAUGGAUAAAAUUUAUCCAUCAAUUGAUAUCAGAGACUGAUCAAUCCUCUGAUCUGCCUAUAGAGGGGGGCAGCAAGUGCUAAAGAAAGAAAGACAACAGAGAUAUAAUUUCAAAGUACAUAGCAGGGGGUGGAGAUCAGUGCCUGAGUAGGCAAAGACAAAAACACUCCAAGCUAGUCCUUAUUCACUGGGUACACACAAUAAUUGGAGAGAGUGUUACGUGACUCAGAGGGCAGCAACAAUCUUAUGUUGAUGAGGGUCUUGCAUUGAUGAAGACAGUGAGAAGAGCAAAGCAUUUUUACAAUAGUAGGUGGGACAAGAUAGCAGAUUAAUAAGGAAUUUGUCCUUCCCCCAGGUGAAACCUUUCUCUUUUUUUAAUUACUACUCAGUUCUCAAAGAACCAAGAUGUCUUUAGCCGAUAUAAUCUUGGUUUUGAGCAUCUCAGCAUUAUAGGACCAUUGAGGUCUCAGCUUGUGACCAGAGAGGUACACAGAAUUAUAUUUCUGCAUACCAUAGCCAGCUCCAGGCAAGGUGACAUUGGGCCUUAGACAGCCCUAAUCAUAAAUUAUGAAAUGGAUUUUCCCCAAAAUUAUAUAGAGUCACUCUUGACAAAUGGAUAAUUCAACCAUAAAGAAGGAUGAAGUCAUCUCAUUUGCAGGAAAAUGGGUGCAACUUGAGAUCAUCAUGUUAAGUGAAAUUAACUUAGGCACAGAGUGCUAGACAUCAUAUGGUCUCUCUUAUAUGAGAACCCUAAAUCAUAAAUAAAUAAAAGUGUACAAUAAAGGAGAUACAGUAGGAAACAAAAAAGCAGACCUUUUGUGGAAGGAGGUAUGGAAGGAGAUCAGGGAAGGGGAGAGUAAGGUAGGGUAGGGAGGAAGCAAGGGGUCAAAAGUGACCAAGAUAUGCUAAAUACAUGUACCAAUUUCCCAAACUGAAUGAAAGCACUAUGCAUUACAAAAAAAUUACUGAUAAUAAAAAAAGAAAAAAAUUAAGUGGGAGAUAUUGAUAAACAAGAUUAAACAUAUUAAAGUAAAGAGACUAGGAAGAUCCAUUUCUGGUAAGAGUAAUGGCUCUUGUAGUAGGGUUACCGGAUUUAACCAAUAAAACUAUAGAACAUAAGUUAAUUUUGAAUUUUGGAUAAACUACAAAUAAUUGUUAUGCAAUAUAUAGGAUGUGUUUCUACUAAAAAUUACUCCUUUAUUAUCUGAAAUUCAAGUUUAAUUGGACACAUUGCAUUUUAUUUGGAAGUGUAAUCUUAAAUUUUCUGCAUAUAUUUCAUCUUCAGGAUAACAAAGUGA
ensembl:lncRNA